rnacentral:rRNA from 1 species
UUCGGAGGAUGCAAGCGUUAUCCGGAAUGAUUGGGCGUAAAGCGUCCGCAGGUGGCAAUGUAAGUCUGCUGUCAAAGCGUCUGGCUCAACCAGAUAAAGGCAGUGGAAACUACAUAGCUAGAGUAAGGUAGGGGUAGAGGGAAUUCCUGGUGUAGCGGUGAAAUGCGUAGAGAUCAGGAAGAACACCGGUGGCGAAAGCGCUCUGCUGGACCUUAACUGACACUGAGGGACGAAAGCUAGGGGAGCGAAUGGG